GUACUCGCUUCGGCAGUACAUAUACUAAAAUUGGAACGAUACAGAGAAGAUUAGCAUGGCCCCUGCACAAGGAUGACACUAUGUACUAUGGCCACAGUAAGCAGCUAA
rnacentral:snRNA from 1 species